UUGAACGCUGGCGGCAUGCUUUACACAUGCAAGUCGAACGGCAGCGGGGGCUUCGGCCUGCCGGCGAGUGGCGAACGGGUGAGUAAUGCAUCGGAACGUACCCAGUCGUGGGGGAUAACUACGCGAAAGCGUAGCUAAUACCGCAUACGCCCUGAGGGGGAAAGCGGGGGACCUUCGGGCCUCGCGCGAUUGGAGCGGCUGAUGUCGGAUUAGCUAGUUGGUGGGGUAAAGGCCUACCAAGGCGACGAUCCGUAGCUGGUCUGAGAGGAUGAUCAGCCACACUGGGACUGAGACACGGCACAGACUCCUACGGGAGGCAGCAGUGGGGACUUUUGGACAAUGGGCGCAAGCCUGAUCCAGCCAUACCGCGUGAGUGAAGAAGGCCUUCGGGUUGUAAAGCUCUUUCAGCCGGAAAGAAAUCGUGCAGAUUAACACUCUGUAUGGAUGGCGGUACCGGAAGAAGAAGCACCGGCUAACUACGU
rnacentral:rRNA from 1 species